GCNAGUCGAGGGGCAGCGAAUCUAGCUUGCUAGAUGUCGGCGACCGGCGAACGGGUGCGUAACGCGUAUAGAAUCUGCCUUGUACAGGAGGAUAGCCUUUAGAAAUGAAGAUUAAUACUCCAUAAUGUUUAGGGAUGGCAUCAUUUUUAAAUUAAAGAUUUAUUGGUACAAGAUGACUAUGCGUCCUAUUAGCUAGAUGGUAAGGUAACGGCUUACCAUGGCAACGAUAGGUAGGGGGUCUGAGAGGAUUAUCCCCCACACUGGUACUGAGACACGGACCAGACUCCUACGGGAGGCAGCAGUGAGGAAUAUUGGUCAAUGGAGGCAACUCUGAACCAGCCAUGCCGCGUGCAGGAAGACUGCCCUAUGGGUUGUAAACUGCUUUUAUACAGGAAGAAACAGAACUACGUGUAGUUCCUUGACGGUACUGUAAGAAUAAGCACCGGCUAACUCCGUGCCAGCAGCCGCGGUAAUACGGAGGGUGCAAGCGUUAUCCGGAAUCAUUGGGUUUAAAGGGUCCGCAGGCGGUCAAUUAAGUCAGAGGUGAAAUCCCAUAGCUUAACUAUGGAACUGCCUUUGAUACUGGUUGACUUGAGUUAUACGGAAGUAGAUAGAAUAAGUAGUGUAGCGGUGAAAUGCAUAGAUAUUACUUAGAAUACCGAUUGCGAAGGCAGUCUACUACGUAUAUACUGACGCUCAUGGACGAAAGCGUGGGGAGCGAACAGGAUUAGAUACCCUGGUAGUCCACGCCGUAAACGAUGGACACUAGUUGUUGGGAUUUGUCUCAUNGACUAAGCGAAAGUGAUAAGUGUCCCACCUGGGGGAGUACGAUCNNANGAUUGAAACUCAANGGAAUUGACGGGGGCC
rnacentral:rRNA from 1 species